rnacentral:rRNA from 1 species
CGUAGGGGCGAGCGUUGUCCGGAAUUAUUGGGCGUAAAGAGCGUGUAGGCGGUUCGGUAAGUCUACUGUGAAAUCCUGGGGCUCAACCCUGGGCGUGCAGUGGAUACUGCCGGGCUAGAGGGUGGUAGAGGCGAGUGGAAUUCCGAGUGUAGCGGUGAAAUGCGCAGAUAUUCGGAGGAACACCAGUAGCGAAGGCGGCUCGCUGGGCCACACCUGACGCUGAGACGCGAAAGCGUGGGGAGCGAACAGGAUU